AAAUUUCUGCAGACCUGACGAGUGCACACAAACUCCUUUUUUCCCCUUUCAUUCCACAAACAUGGCAAAGUUGCUAUUUGGUGUGAUCAGUGAUGCAAUUGCCUGUGAUGAUCAACUGAGAUGACCAGUCAGUCCUUUCAAUGUCGGCUUUGGCUUUGAUCUUCAUGCUUCUGAAUGUUGGUGCAUUUGCAGUGGCAUAAUGAGGAAAAGGACAAGCUUAUGGUAUGAAUCAGACCAGCCCUGGAUAAAUUUCAUUAAUUGUCAUCUAGUUGUUUCAUGAAAUGGCUUGAAGUUCUCAGAAUGUUUUAGGUGUGAACCUCUGACCUCAAUUCCAAAUCAGGGAGCAUGAUCCACAACAAUAAUGGUCACCCGGGCAAGAUGAAUAUGGAGCUGAGGUCUUCCUUUUAUUACAGAGAUACAUAGCUCUCCUGCGUGUUCGGGGGAAAAAAAUGGAGCUGAGGUCAUACAAGUCAACAUUUCAAGGUUGGCACUUGGCACGCUGCAGGCAUAAAUAUGGCCUUUCUUACGGUGUACGACUUUUGGCGGUGCUUAAGCGAAUAUGGCAGGGCGCUUGGCUUUGAAAACAUACUGGUUGGUUGUGUACAAAGUGCAGAGCUUCACUGUUACAGCUGAAACUAUUGUCAGCACGCAGGCGGUGAAGCUGUCGAAAGGGUAAAGGUUUGCUAGAACAUGUCAUCUAGUUAUUUUAACCAGGAUAGAAGGAUCAUGGAAAAUCCUGAUAGUUGACUGUCAACAGAGAAGAGAGAUCAUCACAACUUUCAGCACCCUUUGCUUAUCUCUCUUCGACAGAGUCCAUCCUGCCGUAUCACUCCCCUUCUUGUUUCCCUUCUUUUUUUCACUCUUUGAUUGUCUUAAUGAUGGGAUACGUCACAUUGCCUGUUCCUUCUACUAUUUAAAAAGAGUCAUUUUCCCCUAA